UCCCUGGUAGUAUAUCGGCUGAGUACACGCGCCUGUCACUGUGAUGAACGCGCGAGAGCGGGGUUCGACUCCCCGCCAGGGAG